rnacentral:rRNA from 1 species
UACAGAGGGUGCGAGCGUUGUUCGGAAUUAUUGGGCGUAAAGGGCGCGUAGGCGGUGCGGUAAGUCACCUGUGAAAUCUCCUGGCUCAACUGGGAGCUUGCAGGCGAAACUGCCGUGCUGGAGUGUGGGAGAGGUGCGUGGAAUUCCUGGUGUAGCGGUGAAAUGCGUAGAUAUCAGGAGGAACACCUGUGGCGAAAGCGGCUCACUGGACAGUAACUGACGCUGAUGCACGAAAGCUAGGGGAGCAAAGCAGG